rnacentral:rRNA from 1 species
AGUCGAGGGGCAGCAUGGUCUUAGCUUGCUAAGGCCGAUGGCGACCGGCGCACGGGUGAGUAACACGUAUCCAACCUGCCGUCUACUCUUGGACAGCCUUCUGAAAGGAAGAUUAAUACAAGAUGGCAUCAUGAGUCCGCAUGUUCACAUGAUUAAAGGUAUUCCGGUAGACGAUGGGGAUGCGUUCCAUUAGAUAGUAGGCGGGGUAACGGCCCACCUAGUCUUCGAUGGAUAGGGGUUCUGAGAGGAAGGUCCCCCACAUUGGAACUGAGACACGGUCCAAACUCCUACGGGAGGCAGCAGUGAGGAAUAUUGGUCAAUGGGCGAGAGCCUGAACCAGCCAAGUAGCGUGAAGGAUGACUGCCCUAUGGGUUGUAAACUUCUUUUAUAAAGGAAUAAAGUCGGGUAUGGAUACCCGUUUGCAUGUACUUUAUGAAUAAGGAUCGGCUAACUCCGUGCCAGCAGCCGCGGUAAUACGGAGGAUCCGAGCGUUAUCCGGAUUUAUUGGGUUUAAAGGGAGCGUAGAUGGAUGUUUAAGUCAGUUGUGAAAGUUUGCGGCUCAACCGUAAAAUUGCAGUUGAUACUGGAUAUCUUGAGUGCAGUUGAGGCAGGCGGAAUUCGUGGUGUAGCGGUGAAAUGCUUAGAUAUCACGAAGAACUCCGAUUG